AACGAACGCUGGCGGCAGGCCUAACACAUGCAAGUCGAACGCCCUAGCAAUAGGGAGUGGCAGACGGGUGAGUAACGCGUGGGAACCUUCCCUGUGGUGCGGAAUAACUCGCCGAAAGGCGUGCUAAUACCGCAUAAGCCCGCAAGGGGAAAGAUUUAUCGCCAUGGGAUGGGCCCGCGUAGGAUUAGCUAGUUGGUGAGGUAAUGGCUCACCAAGGCGACGAUCCUUAGCUGGUGAGAGAAUGACAGCCACACUGGACUGAGACACGGCCAGACUCCUACAGGAGGCAGCAGUGGGAAUCUUGGACAAUGGGCGCAAGCCUGAUCCAGCCAUGCCGCGUGAGUGACGAAGGCCUUC
rnacentral:rRNA from 1 species